rnacentral:lncRNA from 1 species
UCACUCCAGUGAUGCUCAGAUUGCAGACAAUGGAGGCUCAGAGAGCAGACUCAAAGGGAGAAAGGGACUUGGUGCAAUGAGUAAGAACUGAAAAAAGUGCCUGAAUGUCAAAGAGAACUGGUGGGGACAGAGGUCUGACUCUGGACAGAACUUGAAGCUGCCACUGGAACUGUCUCAUCCAGCCACUGUGUCAUACAAAAAAGAAAGAAGAGGGU